rnacentral:rRNA from 1 species
UACAGAGGUCUCAAGCGUUGUUCGGAUUCAUUGGGCGUAAAGGGCGCGUAGGCGGCGGGGUAAGUCGGGUGUGAAAUCUCAGAGCUCAACUCUGAAACUGCACUCGAUACUGCUCUGCUUGAGGACUGGAGAGGAGACUGGAAUUCACGGUGUAGCAGUGAAAUGCGUAGAUAUCGUGAGGAAGACCAGUGGCGAAGGCGGGUCUCUGGACAGCUCCUGACGCUGAGGCGCGAAGGCUAGGGGAGCAAACGGG